rnacentral:rRNA from 1 species
AUUGAACGCUGGCGGCAUGCCUUACACAUGCAAGUCGAACGGUAACAGGUCUUCGGAUGCUGACGAGUGGCGAACGGGUGAGUAAUACAUCGGAACGUGCCCGAUCGUGGGGGAUAACGAAGCGAAAGCUUUGCUAAUACCGCAUAAGAUCUACGGAUGAAAGCAGGGGACCGCAAGGCCUUGCGCGAACGGAGCGGCCGAUGGCAGAUUAGGUAGUUGGUGGGAUAAAAGCUUACCAAGCCGACGAUCUGUAGCUGGUCUGAGAGGACGACCAGCCACACUGGGACUGAGACACGGCCCAGACUCCUACGGGAGGCAGCAGUGGGGAAUUUUGGACAAUGGGCGAAAGCCUGAUCCAGCCAUGCCGCGUGCAGGAUGAAGGCCUUCGGGUUGUAAACUGCUUUUGUACGGAACGAAAAGACUCUUUCUAAUAAAGAGGGUCCAUGACGGUACCGUAAGAAUAAGCACCGGCUAACUACGUGCCAGCCGCCGCAGUAA